GUUCUAUCCAGGCUCUUGAACUGCAAGAACUGCUAGCCAGAGAAGGGGCUGACAUGAUUUGGAGGUGAAGUGCAUGGCGGUGGUGGGCGUCCUGGGGAAACUUCUGCAUCGGUAUUUCCCACCACCCCUGUCUGUGGUUUUGUGCUGAGACUGCUGAGACUGCCGCCAUGCAGUUCCUUUGGAACUCAGAAGUGAAGAGCCUGUACUAUUUUGACCUCUCUCAUAGUGGAUGUGUAAUACUUUAAAGACCA